rnacentral:rRNA from 1 species
CCUACGGGAGGCAGCAGUGAGGAAUAUUGGUCAAUGGGCGCAAGCCUGAACCAGCCAAGCCGCGUGAAGGAUGACUGCUCUAUGGGUUGUAAACUUCUUUUAUAAGGGAGUAAAGUGCGGUACGUGCAGCAUUUUGUCUGUAUAUUAUGAAUAAGGAUCGGCUAACUCCGUGCCAGCAGCAGCAGUAAUACGGAGGAUCCGAGCGUUAUCCGCGUUUAUGGGGUUCAAAGGGAGCGUAGGUGGUUUUGUAAGCCAGUUGUGAAAGUUUGCGGCUCAACCGUAAAGUUGCAUUUGAUACUGGCAGCCUUGAGUACAGUAGAGGUAGGCGGAAUGCGUGGUGUAGCGGUGGAAUGCUUAGAUAUCGCGAAGAACACCGAUUGCGAAGGCAGCUUACUAAACUGACACUGACGUUGAGGCUCGAAAGUUAGGGGAGCGAACAGGAUUAGAUACCCGGGUAGUC